UACGUAGGGGGCAAGCGUUAUCCGGAUUUACUGGGUGUAAAGGGAGCGUAGACGGCUGUGCAAGUCAGAAGUGAAAGCCCGGGGCUCAACCGCGGGACUGCUUUUGAAACUGUGUAGCUGGAGUGCAGGAGAGGUAAGUGGAAUUCCUAGUGUAGCGGUGAAAUGCGUAGAUAUAUGGAGGAACACCGGUGGCGAAAGCGGCUCUCUGGCCUGUAACUGACACUGAGGCUCGAAAGCGUGGGGAGCAAACAGG
rnacentral:rRNA from 1 species